rnacentral:lncRNA from 1 species
AUGAGAAUGAGUUUAAACAACGUCUUUGAGAAGCUUUCCAUAAGAGAGAAAUUUAAAAGAGCUGACAUAAAGUUUAGAACAGGGCAAAGGAUCAGACACUAUGGAGUUUUAUGCAACUGUCUUAACUGCCUCUUUUUAGUUUCAUUUAGUUUCAUGUUUGUGCUGAUUCUCUUCCAUUCUACAGAAGUACCACCAGUGGUCCUCCAGAAGAGCAAUGAUCACAUCUCCUACCUAAUACUUCCAAGACCAGCAUGGAGGUCACUUCUUCUCAUCGUAUAUUUUGGAGGACAAGGUGUAAAGGGCUUUUUCCUUCUGACUCAUUACAAGAUAUCUCUGCUAACUGUUGACCUAUAAGAAAAGUUCUGACUAGUCUGCUUAUAGUUACAAACCUAAAAACUACAAAAGAGUUAUUGUAAUUCAACUUGACCAAUAUACCUAAUAGUGCACUCUGGAUUAAAGAUAAUUGUCUUGUGUGUUUAUGUAUUCGUCCAUCUGUGGGUUUAGUAUAUGUUAGUAACCAUGGUUAAAUCACCUACAGUUGCUUCAUUUAAAAAAAAUUUUAACUCAACAAUUUUUUUUUAUUCUUUUCAAUAUUUCCAUGGGAAGACUUCUUAUAUAGAUUUUCAGGGUAAUCAAACUCAUUUAAAACACUACCAGAUAAAGACUGACAGGCUCAGGGCCUGCAUAGGAACAAAAGCCUUGAAGUUUCAUAACAUAACCUAUGAUUUAGGUUAAUAUAUGUGUUUCUGUGCAUUAACAUUUAAAUAUACAUUAUUCUCCUUGCCAGGCAUGGUGGCACACACCUAUAACCACAGCACCUUGGAGGCUGAUGCAGGAGGAUUGCCAUAAGUUUGAGACCAGCCUGGGCUACAAAGUCAGUUUAAAGCCAGCCUGAACUGCAUAGCAAAACCCAGUCUCAAAAAGACAAACAAAAAAAUAAUUACUCUUCAAAAGCUCUACUUAAAUUGGGUUAUAGAUAAAUACUCAAGAUAUUAUCUCAAAAGCUUGUGGUUUAUAUAGCUUAAUAAUAGGCCAAUUUAAAUCAGUUGUAAGAUUAAAAAUGUCUUUAAAGUUGAUAACAUAUUUACAUCCAGGCUCAUAGCUAACCAAGAUAAUAUACAAAAUCAGCUUUAUAAAUACAGUAUCUAUUGUUGUCUGUAUCAUAACUUGAGAGUUGUUCUUGGUAAAAAUGGAAGCAAACUUCUGUAAACAAGUAGAGAAAAAGAGGUUGAAUGAAGGGUAGCCAAAAGGGAAAAAAAGAACGAAGUUACAUCAAGUACAGGU